GACGACGGGUAGCCGGCCUGAGAGGGUGUCCGGCCACACUGGGACUGAGAUACGGCCCAGACUCCUACGGGAGGCAGCAGUGGGGAAUAUUGCACAAUGGGCGCAAGCCUGAUGCAGCGACGCCGCGUGGGGGAUGACGGCCUUCGGGUUGUAAACCUCUUUCACCAUCGGCGAAGCCGGGGGCUUUUGUUUCCGGUGACGGUAGGUGGAGAAGAAGCACCGGCCAACUACGUGCCAGCAGCCGCGGUAAUACGUAGGGUGCGAGCGUUGUCCGGAAUUACUGGGCGUAAAGAGCUCGUAGGUGGUUUGUCGCGUUGUCCGUGAAAUUCCCUGGCUUAACUGGGGGCGUGCGGGCGAUACGGGCAGACUGGAGUACUGCAGGGGAGACUGGAAUUCCUGGUGUAGCGGUGGAAUGCGCAGAUAUCAGGAGGAACACCGGUGGCGAAGGCGGGUCUCUGGGCAGUAACUGACGCUGAGGAGCGAAAGCGUGGGGAGCGAACAGGAUUAGAUACCCUGGUAGUCCACGCCGUAAACGGUGGGUACUAGGUGUGGGUUUCCUUCCUUGGGAUCCGUGCCGUAGCUAACGCAUUAAGUACCCCGCCUGGGGAGUACGGCCGCAAGGCUAAAACUCAAAGGAAUGACGAAGGCG
rnacentral:rRNA from 1 species